AUACGUAGGUGGCAAGCGUUGUCCGGAAUUAUUGGGCGUAAAGCGCAUGUAGGCGGUUUGGUAAGUCGGUCGUGAAAAUGCGGUGCUUAACGCCGUAUGGCGAUUGAAACUGCUGAACUUGAGGGCAGGAGAGGAAAGGGGAACUCCCGGUGUAGCGGUGAAAUGCGUUGCUAUUGGGAAGAACACCUGUGGCUAAGGCGCCGUUCUGAAAUGUGUAUGACGUCAAGAUGCGAAAGCCAGGGUAGCGAAGGGGAUUAGAUACACCGGUAGUUUUGGCCGUAAACGAAAGUUACGAGUUGUGGUAGGUUUCGCCUCCUUCCGUGGCGGAGUUAUCGAAAUAAGUACACCGCCUGGGGCGUACGGCCGCAAGGCUUAAACUCAAAGGAAUUGACGGGG
rnacentral:rRNA from 1 species